rnacentral:rRNA from 1 species
UACGGCUCAGUAACACGUAGCUAACCUACCCUUAAGUCAAGGAUAACCUCGGGAAACUGAGGAUAAUACUUGAUAGGAGAUAUACCCUGGAAAGAUUUAUCUCUCAAACUCGCGCUUAAGGAUGGGGCUGCGGCGGAUUAGGUAGUUGGCGGGGUAAAAGCCCACCAAGCCAGUGAUCCGUAAGGGCUCUUAGCGGAGAGGCCCUGAGAGGGAAUCUGAGAUACUAUUCCCAGCCCUACGGGGUGCAGCAGGUAGGAAUCUUUUGCAGUGCGCGCAAGCGUGACAAAGCGAGCCAGAGUGCUUUUCAAUUGAAAAGCUUUUGCCAAAUCUAAAAAGUUUGGCGAAUAAGGACUGGGUAAGACUAGUGCCAGCCGCCGCGGUAAUACUAGCGGUCCAAGUCGCAGCCAUCAUUAUUGGGUCUAAAAUAUCCGUAGCUUGCUUAAUAAGUUCCCUGUGAAAUCUCAUCUCUUAAGGAUGAGGCGUGCAGGGAAUACUGCUAAGCUAGAGACUGGAAGACGUAGAAAGUACGUUCAAAGUAGCGGUAAAAUGUGUUAAUCUUGAACGGACUCACAAUAGCGAAGGCAUUCUACGAGGACAGUUCUGACAGUAAAGGAUGAAGGCUAGGGGCGCAAAAUGGAUUAGAUACCCAUGUAGUCCUAGCAGUAAACACUGCAUACUAAACAUUAGUACCUCUUCGAGAGGUAUUAGUGCUGAAGGGAAGCCGAAGAGUAUGCUACCUGGGAAGUAUAGCCGCAAGGCCGAA